rnacentral:rRNA from 1 species
UACAGAGGGUGCAAGCGUUAAUCGGAAUUACUGGGCGUAAAGGGCCUGUAGGUGGUUUCUUAAGUUAGAUGUGAAAGCCCUGGGCUCAACCUGGGAACUGCAUCUAAAACUGGGUGACUAGAGUAUGGUAGAGGGAAGUGGAAUUUCUAGUGUAGCGGUGAAAUGCGUAGAUAUUAGAAAGAACACCAGUGGCGAAGGCGACUUCCUGGACCAAUACUGACACUGAGGGGCGAAAGCGUGGGGAGCAAACAGG